rnacentral:miRNA from 1 species
GAUGUUGACGCACGUGAGCGGGAGGGGAUAGGAGAGAGUUGAUAUACAAUGCAAUUACAGGCUCUUAUGCUUUCCAAAGGGGGGGAUGAUUCAAUGAU